UUGCUCCUCUCUCUUCAAAUCUGUCAGUGUUCGCAACCAGUAUUUCCUGAAUGACUAGUGUUACAGACCAAUGCUCAAGUUGUGUUUCCUCAAGAUAGCAGCUGGAACAGCCAUGUCUGAUUUGAAGGAGGGAUGCAAGAUAGGAAUCAGAAUAAUGCCACUUGAGAUCCUCUCUCUCAUGAUCUGUGUUGCGUUAUGUAGCAUUGGACUUUGCAAGGCACCACAGCAAAGGAGAGUUGUAAGGAGGGCUUUGAAAGAAGAUGAGGGGACUUUGCAGAUGGUUAUGGGGGGCUCUUCCCAAGCAUAAGUCGACAGUCAGCAUGGGAGAAAACACAAAGCAUUUCUCCAUUCCAGUGUGCAACUGCCCAGCCGAAUGUGCUCCAGCUUGGAGUAAACUGGAGAUAGUGGCUCUCCUGGGCCUCUGGGAAGAAGAGGCUGUGCAAGCACAGCUACGGAGCAGCCACAGAAACGUGGACACCUCUGAGCAGAUUGCCUGGGGGAUGCAGAAGAAGAGGGGCAACAGGGACUAGCAGCAGGGCCAUGUGAAAGCAAAGAAACUCAGAAGGCCAGAGAGGCGAACAGUCAAUCUGCCAUGACAACCCCACACCCCAUUGUGGAUAACUCAGAGGAAGGCAAAAAAAAUAAAAAAAUAACUCAGGGGCUCUGCCAAUCUGAUACAAGGGAAAAUUCCUUUCCAAGCCCAAAUAUAGUGAUUGCUUAGGCCCUGAGCAUGUGGACAAGACUUACCAGCUAGACUGGGGGUGGGCAAACUAUGGCCCAUGGGCCCAUCCUGUCCAAUCCCUGCUCCCCUCCUGCUGUCUCCCCUCCCCAGCAGCCACGUCCCUACUGCUCCGGCCCGCUGCUCCUGUCGGGGAGCAUUGCAGCGGCGUGACUGGCUGUGGUGAGCAGGGGGAUGUGGGAUUUGAUA